AAAGGGGCAUUCCACUCCAGAAGCGGGUAUCAUAAUUCAUCAGAGAAUAAAUUGUUAUGCUUGAAUCAAGUUUGUUUUGUCAAAUGUACCAUGAGUUGAAGCCUGAACGCAGGGCGUGCAUUAUAGCGAUCGACUUCUUGAAUUCCCCGCUAGUCCCUUACCAACAAUCCCAGAAUUCAAUGCGCAUGGUGUGUUACGGACGGGCUGGAUCGACGAAGCCGCCAAGGACUCUUCCAGUUGAAAAGAAAAGAGAAGGACGUGGUCGAGGAAAAGCCCAAGUCAAAAGUUGACCUAAGGCAGCGGGUGGACUACAGUAAGAGGCUAGGAGACUAUGUGGUCAAAAACAUCUAUGAGAAGAAACAGGACUACACUUUCAAAAGAAAGCUGUUGGAGGCUGUCAUACACAGGCGUCGGGAGUUUUGUGGUGGCUAGGUGCUCCAAAAGCCUGACUUUCCAGGCCAGACAAUAAAACUGCAAUUGCACAGUACCGUUCAAGGUUUACAGGCUAGUAAACGAGUCUCGUUUGGAACUCUACUGUUUUCAUGGUCAUGUUUUCUCAUUUUUGUUAUGUUUUUUUUAGCAUACAUGCUUUAUAUGACAAAACUACAUGUAGUUUCUGUUUUGAACGUUUCAAAACUGCUGCUCCUAUUUCUCUUAGACACAAGAAAUGUGAAAAUAUAAAUAUUAAUUCAUGAACAUGCAACUUGAACAUGUUGGCAGUAGCCCAUAUACUUCAGGUUAAAUCCAGGUAGAUCCUGAUAUACUGAUUUUAUAUGACAGGCUAUAUUAUUAUGUUAAUAAGGACAAGUUCCCAUUGUAUAUCCAGUGGAUCAUUUUAUUCAUAAAUAUCCUGCCUACAUAUGUCAGAAACAAAUGCUGUUUUACAACAAUAUAUGUGUGUCCACCAAAGUUUUCCUUUCCUAUUUUUGAAAAUUACACAGAAAUGUAAU